rnacentral:rRNA from 1 species
AUUGAACGCUGGCGGCAGGCUUAACACAUGCAAGUCGAACGAGUCGCGCACGGGUGAGUAAUGCUUGGGAACCUAGCCUAAGGAGGGGGAUAACUACGGGAAACUGUAGCUAUACCCGCGUACCUUAGGCUGAGCCCAAGUGGGAUUAGGUAGUUGGUGAGGUAAAGGCUCACCAAGACGACGAGCGCUAGCUGGUCUCAGAGGAUGACCGGCCACACUGGGCCUGAGACACGGCCCAGACUCCUACGGUAGGAAGCAUUGGGGAAUAUUGCGCAAUGGGGGAAACCUGACGCAGCCAGGCCGCGUGAAGGAAGAAGGCCUUCGGGUUGUAAAGUUUUUUCGUUAGCGAGGCGUUAACUACAGAAAAAGCACCGGCUAACUCCGUGCCAGCAGCCGCGGUAAUAC